CAUUCUCUCUCUACACUUGCUAACCCUAAAAACGCUCUGUACAGAGCGUCUCUCUCUCUGACCUCUUCGUCGAAGAAGAGAGCGGCGGGCGGCCGUCUGUGGCGGCGCCGCCUCCAUCUCGCGGUGGUUCAACCACCCAAAACCCUACCCCACCUAAAUCGAGCCUUCUGAGUUUAAAUACAGGCUUGGAUUUCGAAAAAAACAAAUCAUUCGUCCAGAUCUUGAGUCCUAAACGUAACCCUAAAUUCUAAUCAAAACAACAUCAACCACAAUUCAAAACAAACAAGAGCGAGGGCUUCACAUGCAUGAAGACCUAGUUAUGGAAGCAACGCGAGAAGAAGGAGAUGAGAAGAAAGGUAACCGACCUGGGGCUUGGUUCGACGACGACGCUUCCCACGAAAUCAGAUUACAACUCUGAAGAGACUUUGAUGGAAUGGAAAAGUGGUUGUACGAAAGCAUACUUGGAGGCGCGCUGGUCUUGGGAGUUUUCAACCUAGCUACUUGGUUUUUGAUUAUUACGAACCUGUUUCCAUCUGGAUGAAUUUUUUCACUGUAAUUACUUAGUUUAGUUUUUUUAGACAAAAUGUGUGUUUGGAUUAUUUGGAACUUAUUGAAUUAAAUUUUAAUUAUGUAAUUACCUUUUAAGCUUUCAAAA